rnacentral:rRNA from 1 species
CAUAUCAAUAAGCGGAGGAAAAGAAACUAACAAGGAUUCCCCUAGUAACUGCGAGUGAAGCGGGAAAAGCUCAAAUUUAAAAUCUGGUGGUCUUUGGCCAUCCGAGUUGUAAUCUAGAGAAGUGUUAUCCGCGCUGGACCGUGUACAAGUCUCCUGGAAUGGAGCGUCAUAGAGGGUGAGAAUCCCGUCUUUGACACGGACUACCAGGGCUUUGUGAUGCGCUCUCAAAGAGUCGAGUUGUUUGGGAAUGCAGCUCAAAAUGGGUGGUAAAUUCCAUCUAAAGCUAAAUAUUGGCGAGAGACCGAUAGCGAACAAGUACCGUGAGGGAAAGAUGAAAAGAACUUUGGAAAGAGAGUUAAACAGUACGUGAAAUUGCUGAAAGGGAAACGCUUGAAGUCAGUCGCGUUGUCUGGGGAUCAACCUUGCUUUUGCUGGGCGUACUUUCCAGAUGACGGGUCAGCAUCAAUUUUGACCGUUGGAUAAAGAUUAGAGGAAUGUGGCAUCUUCGGAUGUGUUAUAGCCUUUGGUUGUAUACAACGGUUGGGAUUGAGGAACUCAGCACGCCGCAAGGCCGGGUACUUGUACCACGUUCGUGCUUAGGAUGCUGGCAUAAUGGCUUUAAUCGACCCGUCUUGAAACACGGACCAAGGAGUCUAACAUGCCUGCGAGUAUUUGGGUGGUAAACCCGAGUGCGUAAUGAAAGUGAAAGUUGAGAUCCUUGUCAUGGGGAGCAUCGACGCCCGGACCAGACCUUUUGUGACGGAUCUGCGGUAGAGCAUGUAUGUUGGGACCCGAAAGAUGGUGAACUAUGCCUGAAUAGGGUGAAGCCAGAGGAAACUCUGGUGGAGGCUCGUAGCGAUUCUGACGUGCAAAUCGAUCGUCAAAUUUGGGUAUAGGGGCGAAAGACUA